GCCUGGCUGGCUCAAUUGGUACAGCAUGUGACUCUUGAUCUCAAAGUUGUGAAUUCAAGCCCCAUGUUAGGUG
rnacentral:tRNA from 1 species